rnacentral:rRNA from 1 species
CGAAGGGUGCAAGCGUUAUUCGGAAUCAUUGGGCGUAAAGCGCGCGCAGGCGGAUUAAUAAGUCAGGUGUGAAAUCUCGGGGCUCAACCUCGAAACUGCGCCUGAAACUAUUAGUCUAGAGUGUUGGAGGGGUAGGGGAAUUUCACGUGUAGGGUAAAAUCCGUAGAGAUGUGAAGGAACACCGGAGGCGAAGGCGCCUACCUGGACAACUACUGACGCUGAGGCGCGAAAGCGUGGGGAGCAAACAGGAUU